GAUGAACGCUGGCGGCGUGCCUAAUACAUGCCAGUCGAGCGAACAGAUGAGGAGCUUGCUCCUCUGACGUUAGCGGCGGACGGGUGAGUAACACGUGGAUAACCUACCUAUAAGACUGGGAUAACUUCGGGAAACCGGAGCUAAUACCGGAUAAUAUAUUGAACCGCAUGGUUCAAUAGUGAAAGACGGUUUUGCUGUCACUUAUAGAUGGAUCCGCGCCGCAUUAGCUAGUUGGUAAGGUAACGGCUUACCAAGGCGACGAUGCGUAGCCGACCUCAGAGGGUGAUCGGCCACACUGGAACUGAGACACGGUCCAGACUCCUACGGGAGGCAGCAGUAGGGAAUCUUCCGCAAUGGGCGAAAGCCUGACGGAGCAACGCCGCGUGAGUGAUGAAGGUCUUCGGAUCGUAAAACUCUGUUAUUAGGGAAGAACAAAUGUGUAAGUAACUAUGCACGUCUUGACGGUACCUAAUCAGAAAGCCACGGCUAACUACGUG
rnacentral:rRNA from 1 species